GACGAACGCUGGCGGCGUGCCUAAUACAUGCAAGUAGAACGCAGUUGCGAACGGGUGAGUAACGCGUAGGUAACUGCCUCAUAGCGGGGGAUAACUAUUGGAAACGUUAGCUAAUACCGCAUACUGUGAGAUGGACCUGCGUUGUAUUAGGUAGUUGGUGAGGUAAAGGCUCACCAAGGCGACGGUACAUAGCCGACCUGAGAGGGUGGUCCGCCACAAUGGGAAUGAGGCAAGGGCCAGACUCCUACGGGAGGGAGCCAUAGGGAAUCAUCGGCCAUGGACGGAAGUCUGAACGAGCAACGGCGGGUGAGUGGAGAAGGGUUUCGGAUCGUAAAGCUCUGUUGUUCGGGGAGCGGUAACUAACCAAGAAGGAACGGCUAACUACGUGCCAGCAGCCGCGGUAAUAC
rnacentral:rRNA from 1 species